UGACAGGAUUCAUUAAAGUGAAGUUGAAGGAGCUGAAUCUUCAUGACCGUCAUUAGUGCACGCAGAGCAGCGCUGUCGUACCAUCAGCAAAUGCGAGGUGUCGAGCCUCGUGGACGGACUGGUGACUCUUCUCGCUUCCCACUACACCACAGACGACGAAAACCUGAAUGCAGACAGCGCAGCUGUGAUAUCUGAAGAAGUACUCUACGAGCCAAUAUUCUCCAUCCAC